rnacentral:rRNA from 1 species
UACGAAGGGUGCAAGCGUUACUCGGAAUUACUGGGCGUAAAGCGUGCGUAGGUGGUUUGUUAAGUCUGAUGUGAAAGCCCUGGGCUCAACCUGGGAAUUGCAUUGGAUACUGGCAGGCUAGAGUGCGGUAGAGGAUGGCGGAAUUCCCGGUGUAGCAGUGAAAUGCGUAGAGAUCGGGAGGAACAUCUGUGGCGAAGGCGGCCAUCUGGACCAGCACUGGACACUGAGGCACGAAAGCGUGGG